rnacentral:rRNA from 1 species
ACUCCUACGGGAGGCAGCAGUGGGGAAUAUUGCACAAUGGGCGCAAGCCUGAUGCAGCCAUGCCGCGUGUGUGAAGAAGGCCUUCGGGUUGUAAAGCACUUUCAGUCGUGAGGAAGGUAGUGUAGUUAAUAGCUGCAUUAUUUGUACGUUAGCGACAGAAGAAGCACCGGCUAACUCCGUGCCAGCAGCCGCGGUAAUACGGAGGGUGCGAGCGUUAAUCGGAAUUACUGGGCGUAAAGCGCAUGCAGGUGGUUUGUUAAGUCAGAUGUGAAAGCCCGGGGCUCAACCUCGGAAUAGCAUUUGAAACUGGCAGACUAGAGUACUGUAGAGGGGGGUAGAAGUUUCAGGUGUAGCGGUGAAAUGCGUAGAGAUCUGAAGGAAUACCGGUGGCGAAGGCGGCCCCCUGGACAGAUACUGACACUCAGAUGCGAAAGCGUGGGGAGCAAACAGGAUUAGAUACCCUGGUAGAUAGCG